rnacentral:rRNA from 1 species
UGUCAGCGCGCAGCCUGAUGCAGCCAUGCCGCGUGAGUGAUGAAGGCCUUAGGGUUGUAAAGCUCUUUCACCGGGGAAGAUAAUGACGGUACCCGGAGAAGAAGCCCCGGCUAACUUCGUGCCAGCACCCGCGGUAAUUGUAUAUGC